GUCGUGAGAUGUUGGGUUAAGUCCCGCAACGAGCGCAACCCUCGUUCGAUGUUGCCAGCGGGUUAUGCCGGGGACUCAUCGAAGACUGCCGGGGUCAACUCGGAGGAAGGUGGGGAUGAGGUCAAGUCAUCAUGCCCCUUAUGUCCAGGGCUUCACGCAUGCUACAAUGGCCGGUACAAAGGGCUGCGAUACCGUGAGGUGGAGCGAAUCCCAAAAAGCCGGUCUCAGUUCGGAUCGGGGUCUGCAACUCGACCCCGUGAAGUUGGAGUCGCUAGUAAUCGCAGAUCAGCAACGCUGCGGUGAAUACGUUCCCGGGCCUUGUACACACCGCCCGUCACGUCACGAAAGUCGGCAACACCCGAAGCCCAUGGCCUAACCAGUUUACUGGAGGGAGUGGUCGAAGGUGGGGCUGGCGAUUGGGACGAAGUCGUAACAAGGUAGCCGUACCGGAAGGUGCGGCUGGAUCACCUCCUUUCUAAGGAGCGUUCUGGCUCUGUAAUGGGGUCCAGGGGCCCGCGUCACCCGAGUGUGGUGGCGGGGUAGCUCAGAGGCGGAGACGCUGGCAGACAGACUUUCACCGACAACGGCUUUUCGUUGACUAGUACAACCUGUUCGGGUCCCUCUUUUGGGGGGUUUGGUGGGUGUGGAACGUUGGUGGGGGUGCGGUUGGUGGGUUUAUUCCGAUCAUCAUCCUGUUGGGUCCUGAAAGAACAAGCUCACAGCUGGGUGUUGCGACCUGAGGGUUGCCGCCCGGAUUGUAGGGGUUGCUUUUUCUGGCAGGCCACGCCUGAUCAUCAAACUGCGUUGAACCGUAAGUGCCUGAGGGUUGCUGAGGUUUGGGGUGUGUGGUGGUUGUGGGGUUGUGGGUUUGUUUGUUGUUUGAGAAUUGUACAGUGGACGCGAGCAUCUUUGUGGUCAAGUUGUCAAGGGCAGAUGGUGGAUGCCUUGGCACCAGGAGCCGAUGAAGGACGUGGGAGGCCGCGAUAGGCCUGGGGGAGCUGUCAACCAAGCUGUGAUCCCAGGGUGU
rnacentral:sRNA from 1 species